rnacentral:rRNA from 1 species
UACGAAGGGGGCUAGCGUUGCUCGGAAUCACUGGGCGUAAAGCGCACGUAGGCGGAUCGUUAAGUCAGGGGUGAAAUCCUGGAGCUCAACUCCAGAACUGCCUUUGAUACUGGCGACCUUGAGUUCGGGAGAGGUGAGUGGAACUGCGAGUGUAGAGGUGAAAUUCGUAGAUAUUCGCAAGAACACCAGUGGCGAAGGCGGCUCACUGGCCCGAUACUGACGCUGAGGUGCGAAAGCGUGGGAGCAACAGGG